ensembl:misc_RNA Metazoa_SRP Metazoan signal recognition particle RNA
GCCGGGUGUGGUGGCUCACGCCUGUAAUCCCAGCACUUUGGGAGGCCGAGGUGGGUGGAUCACCUGUGGUUAGGAGUUUCAGACCAGCCUGACCAACAUGGAGAAACCCCAUCUCUA